GACGAACGCUGGCGGCGUGCUUAACACAUGCAAGUCGAGCGGUAAGGCCCCUUCGGUGGUACACGAGCGGCGACCGGGUGCGUAACACGUGCGCAAUCUGCCCAUCACAUUGGGAUAACUCCGGGAAACCGAAGCUAGUACCGAAUACGACCACUUCCUGCAUCGGCUGGUGGCGGUAAUUUCCGGCGGUGUUGGAUGAGCUCGCGGCCUAUCAUCUUGUUGGUGGGCUAACGGCCCACCAAGGCUUCGACGGGUAGCCGGCCUGGGAGCCGGGCCGGCCACACUGGGACUACGAGACGGACCAGAAUGCUACGGGAGGCAGCGGUGGAAAAUAUUAGACAAUGGGCGAACGCCAGAUCCAGCAACGCCGCGUGAGGGAUGACGGCCUUCGGGUUGUAAACCACUUUCAGCAGAGACGAAGCGCAAGUGACGGUACCUGCAGAAAAAGCACCGGCCAACUACGUG
rnacentral:rRNA from 1 species